CGAACCACCGCUCUAUCCUUUCUUUUUCUUUUUGUAUAUCUUUUUUAUAUGUAUACUCGGAUAGUCGGAUUUGUCCCUUAUUAACGGCUCUAGCACUCCUCUAGAUUCGCGAACGAAACCAGUCACUGCUAAUCAUCCCGCACAACCACAACGACCGACGAUGGCGUUGCCGCAAUUAUCCCCGAUCUCCAAGGGCGCUAAUUAGGACACCCCGACGCUUGCCAGGCUGCACAUGGCUGGCAUUGCAUUACAUUACCCCCACCCGUCACCUGAUCUCCACCGUCAUUCCACUCCAUCAGUGGGCAGCGCUCUGCUCUCCUCCACUCACGAACUCACUCACUCACUCCCCUUGCCCCCAUCCAUCCGCUAGCCACUAGCUCCAGCAGGCUCGCCGCCGACACUCCACUAGUGCU
rnacentral:lncRNA from 7 species